UAUGUUAAAUUUAUUUGUUUAUUACAACUUAUAUAUUUUGUUUUUUUUUUAAUUUUUGAAAAACAGUAAAAAGUAUCAUACUUUCACAUGUUAAAACGUUCAGAACCAUACAAAGAUUGUGUAUUUUUCAUUUUGUGUUUAUUUAUUUUAUCUGUAUAUUUCUCUCUCUCUUUCUAUAUAUAUAUAUAUAUAUAUAUAUAUAUAUAUAUACCAAUGUGUUAUAAUAACAACCAUUUUGACUAAACCAUACAUGUAUAUAUAUUUUAAUAUACGUUCAUAUUUACAGUAUAUAUACAUAUGUAUAUCUACGCAUGUGUGCACUUUUUUAUUAACAUAACAACUUAAAAUAAUAUAUUAUUUGUUAAUUAUAUAUUUCUACAAAUUUGUUAUUGUAUAUGUAACACCUGAUUAUUCUGCUUCGCCUCCGUAACAUUGCAACGUUGCUAUGUAUUAGUGAAUAAAAAAAAAUAUAGGAAAAAAGGGAAAAUAAAAAAACAAUAUAUUAAGUAACUAAACAAAAUAACACAACAUAUAAAAAAUUAAAUAGCAAAGCCUUUUUUUUUUUUUUAAUGAUUUGAAGUCGAAAUGAAUCAAUAUGACCAAUGGAAUCGUAAACUACGGACUAUUUGGUACUGUAGUAGCCUGUAUGUGGAGUACAAAAAUGCAUUACGUAAAUCCAAAAAAAUGCCAGUAGAAAAAAAAACAGAAUAUUGGGAAAAAAAAGCAUGAAGAGUUUGCAACAAAAAUGUUAAAUAAUAUUUAUGAAUUGAAAGGAUGGUGGGUAAAAGUUGGUCAAUUUUUAAGCACUAAAGAAAAUAUAAUGCCAGGAGCAUAUAUAGAAAAAUUUACGAAAUUACAAGACAUGAUGCCUACUUCUUCUUAUGAUAAAAUAGAAACAAUUUUAAUAAAGGAAUUAGGUUAUUUUUUUUAUCACAUUGUGUAUGUGUAUGUAAUAUGUAAAUGUACGU
rnacentral:lncRNA from 1 species